AUUGAACGCUGGCGGCAGGCCUAACACAUGCAAGUCGAGCGAGCGGCGGACGGGUGAGUAAUGUAUGGGGACUGCCCGAUAGAGGGGGAUAACUACUGGAAACGGUGGCUAAUACCGCAUACUGUCGGAUCACCCAUAGGGGAUUAGCUAGUAGGUAAGGUAAUGGCUUACCUAGGCGACGAUCUCUAGCUGGUCUGAGAGGAUGAUCAGCCACACUGGGACUGAGACACGGCCCAGACUCCUACGGAGGCAGCAGUGGGGAAUAUUGCACAAUGGGCGCAAGCCUGAUGCAGCCAUGCCGCGUGUAUGAAGAAGGCCCUAGGGUUGUAAAGUACUUUCAUUCGGGAGGCGGUACCGACAGAAGAAGCACCGGCUAACUCCGUGCCAGCAGCCGCGGUAAUUC
rnacentral:rRNA from 1 species